rnacentral:rRNA from 1 species
UACGUAGGGGCAAGCGUUGUCCGGAUUUAUUGGGCGUAAAGAGCGUGUAGGCGGUCAGGUAGGUCGGUUGUGAAACUGGAGGCUCAACCUUCAGAGGUCGACCGAACCCUGGCUAGAGUCCGGAGAGAGAGUGAAUUCCUGGUGUAGCGUGAAUGCGCAGAUAUCAGAGACACGUGCGAGCGCUCUCUGAACGUACUGACGCUGAGACGCGAAGCGUGGAGCGACAGA